GGCCGUUGAAUUGGUGAAACAUAAUAUACCAACUAAACAUGUAGAAGCUUAAGUGGCGAUAUCCUUGGACGUGGGUUCAACUCCCACCGUCUCCA
rnacentral:tRNA from 1 species